CACUCCUUCCCCUCCAUGUGAGGUCCCCCAUUUUCAAAGCCUGGCUCUCAGCAGCCAGCCCUGCCUGCUUGUAAAAAGGCCUUGAAUAGAAAUAAAGUGACAGGUGAACAUCUCCUGUUCAGAUGGGAGGGUUGGGGUUCAGUAAUGAAUGCCUGGGUUUGUCCUGGGAUGCAGUGGCUGGGAGGGAGCAGCGGUGCUGGGAUGCUGUGAGCCAGCUGCGAUUAGAUGUGCUAUCAUUUCCUGGAGGUAUAUAUUGCAGAUAAAAUGUGUCUGUCUAUGUUGAGUUGCUCCUUGUUGUUAUGGCCCUGAAGUAGUGCUGUAUCCCUAUGUAUUACCAAACUUGGAGCAUUUCACCUAUAAUAGCAAAUUCUUAGUCCUGAGUGCCCCGUUGCUAUUUGCACGGUCACUCCAGGCUCUCCACCCACAGCCUCUCGUGGCAUCUCACCUCUGACCAGCGCAUCCCUGCUCCCCUUGGUGACUUUAUGCUCUGCUGUCAGAGGAAGCCCUGCCCUAAGUCUGGGUCUCGGCUCCUUAAAGCCCCUCAUAACUAAGCGUGAGUUUUUUGCCCGAGUGCCCCGGAGCUGGUUCAGCUAGGAGGAGUCAAAUAUCUUUUGCAAAUAGCCCAAUGCUGUGGCUGUUAAAAUCCAGAAGUCUUGACUCAAAAAAAAAAAAAAAGAAAAAAAAAGAAAAAAAAAAGGCAUUUAACCUGUUGUUGCCUUUAUCAGCUGCUCUGGAGGGAAAAUCAGGUUGCAGCAGAGUCAGGUGCUUGGCAAAGGUUCCCCUCCUGUCCAUGCUCCAGCUCCAACAUCAGCAGCUUUCUGUCGGUCUGGUCCCUACUAGCCAUGCAUAGCUUCACGUACCGCUGGCUAUUAAUUGCAGAGCAAAUUAACCUUCCUCAGACCAUAUGUUGCUGCUGUAAACUGCUUGAAGAAAUCUCCUUGCCAUUUCCAGACUGGAGACCUUUUGUUUUCAUUCAGCGAAGUACCAGUUCUGUAAGAGACAGCUUUCUCCACUCAGCAUCUUUGGGACACCCAUCGAUCAACGACAGGGAAUUGAAGCCCCCAGUUCCCAGCCACUCUGAAGCAGGUGCUCAAACCCAUCACCUGAGCAGAGCUGAGUUUGGCCUCCUGAUGGGAGGAGAUGGGACUGAGAGCUCAACAAUGUCUCUGAAAACUGAAGCUGCUGAAUGGAGGGUGGCUGAGAGUGAUGUUCCUGAAAGGGCAGCACCACAGCCCCUUGGUGGAGAAGCUUGCACAUCANNNNNNNNNNCACCUAUAAUAGCAAGUUCUUAGACCCGAGUGCCCCGUUACUGUUUGUACAGUCACUCCAGACUCUCCACCCACAGCCUCUUGUGGCAUCCCACCUCUGACCAGCGCAUCCCUGCUCCCCUUGGUGACUUUGUGCUCUGCUGCCAGAGGAAGCCCUGCCCUAAGUUUGGGUCUCAGCUCCUUAAAGCCCCUCAUAACUAAGGGUCAGUUAUUUGCCCGAGUGCCCCGGAGCUGGUUCAGCUAGGAGGAGUCAAAUAUCUUUUGCAAAUAGCCCAAUUCUGUGGCUGUUAAAAUCCAGAAGUCUUGCCUCAAAAAAAAAAAAAAAAAAAAAAGGCAUUUAACCUGUUGUUGCCUUUAUCAGCUGCUCUGGAGGGAAAAUCAGGUUGCAGCAGUCAGGUGCUUGGCAAAGGUUCCCCUCCUGUCCAUGCUCCAGCUCCAACAUCAGCAGCUUUCUGUCGGUCUGGUCCCUACUAGCCAUGCAUAGCUUCACGUACCGCUGGCUAUUAAUUGCAGAGCAAAUUAACCUUCCUCAGACCAUAUGUUGCUGCUGUAAAGUAUGCAAAUAUGUUGUUAGUGACUGUAA
rnacentral:lncRNA from 1 species